rnacentral:misc_RNA from 1 species
GGCGGAAUUAGGGUUUCGUUGAUAGCGAAGAUGACCGGGAAGGCGAAGCCGAAGAAGCACACGGCGAAGGAGAUCGCUGCCAAAGUCGACGCGGCAACGACGAACCGCGGCGGAGGCAAGGCUGGGCAGGCGGACCGCAUCGGCCUCGACAAGGGCGGCCACGCGAAGCUGGAGUGCCCCCUCUGCAAGGUAACCGCUCCCGACAUCAAGUCGAUGCAGAUCCACCACGACGCCCGCCAUCCGAAGAUCCCUUUCGACGAAACGAAGCUGAAUAACCUCCACGCCUCUACCACCGUCGUCGGCGACACCUCCAAGCCCCGCCCGGGGGUCCGCGGGUCCCUCAAGAAACCGGGAGGUAUCUAACUGGGAGCGGAUUCUGCUUGUUAAGACUCUACUAUCCACUGAAGGAAGCCCUCUUGGGGGAUUCUGCUACUCCCUUGUUCUUUUAAGUUUGGAAUAUGUGUAAUACUUAAAUAAGCUUGAUUUACUUUCUGAACCUUUCCUUGC